rnacentral:lncRNA from 1 species
GUUAACUAUGCUCCACUGGGAGCUUCUCUACAUGAAGUUGACUGGCACUGGAGUCAUCUGAGGGCUACCCUGGGCUGGAAUCUCCAAAGUGGAACACUCACAUGAUUGCUAGCGGGUGCUGGCUGUUGACUCAGGAAUCUUGCUCUUCUCCAUGUGGCUUCUCUUUUUGGCUUGGUCUUGCCAUGACAUGGUGGCUAGAUUCCAAGAGGAGGCUUUCAUCUUCAUUGUUCUUCUUCAUAACAUGGCU